rnacentral:lncRNA from 1 species
GGGUCGAAAUAACACUGUAGGAGUAGGAUGAGGCAGUUUUGGAUGACUAUGAAACACUACGCUGUUCUUCUGCCACUGCCUCCAAAAAAAGUGAGAGCUUCAAAAUUAUAAUAUCAUAAAUUUGCAUUUCAAUUUCUUCUCCAGAAAGAACCAAAUGCCAGCAUGGCAACGGUGUCGUUUACUCUCCAUCUCUGUCGUUUUGGUCGAAAUUUAUGCAAAACGCUCUUUCCUACUACUUCCUCUAUCACUCUUCUGAAUCCUCGUGGCCGGAGAAUUCGCCGGAGUAUCUACUUCUCCGGUUCCACUUUCUCCCGCCGUUUCUCAACCGUUGAAACAAGUUCCUCUUCCCGCGGUAUGAGAAUUUUGUUUUUCACAAGCUUCUUUGGUUUUAGUUAGUGUGUAAAUAAAUUCUUUCUCAAAAUUGAAAUUGUUUAGUUAUUUGUGCUUUUUUGCAGAUUUAGGUUAUGAAUUUGGAAUAGUAGAUGAAAAAUAUGAUGUUAUUGUUGUUGGA